GACGAACCGUGCAAACGUUGUUCGGAAUCACUGGGCUUAAAGGGCGCGUAGGCGGACCGGAUAGUCUGUGGUGAAAGCCCCCAGCUUAACUGGGGAAGUGCCAUGGAUACUGCCGGUCUGGAGGAGGGUAGGGGCAUCUGGAACGCUGGGUGGAGCGGUGAAAUGCGUUGAUAUCCAGCGGAACUCCGGUGGCGAAGGCGAGGCGCUGGACCCUUUCUGACGCUGAUGCGCAAAAGCCAGGGGAGCAAACGGG
rnacentral:rRNA from 1 species